rnacentral:sRNA from 1 species
CCUGUAUAAUGACGAGACCGAGCACGGUUUGGAUGAACGCGGUGUAAAAAGACCCAUAAAUGAUAUAGGUCGCAACUGCAAACGCCAGCAAAGCACACAUCAUACUGAUGAAAACGCGCGGCGCGUACAUGUCUUUCUCCUCCGCCAAGCAUACUCUCACUAUUGAGGUGUGCU